AACAACAGUAACUAUAAAGUAGAGGAUCAAUAUGGCCGAACUGAUGGGAACAGCGAAAAACACCACCAGAAGCAACACAAUGGCCAAAGGGAACUUGGAAGUGAAGCGGAUGAAAAGGUCGAGCGACUUGUGCAACGAUAGCAAAUGCUGUCUCCCCACUGCAUUGCUUCCUCUACCUCCAUGACCAUCCCCUUGAAAGUCCAACCCUUGAUUCUGCUCAUUCCUUGCUUCGUUAUCAAGAGUCGUGGCUUGAUCAUUACCAACUUCAUUUGUCAAAUGCCAAACUGGUUGAUCAUCAAAAGCAGCUGGCAAGGCCGACGAGUUAACCUUCCCAGCCUGGUCA
rnacentral:lncRNA from 1 species